ACCACGGGAGCAGCUCUGUUAAUGCUUCUGACAGAGAAGAAAAGAUGAGAGAAGGACGUCUACACACAGCUCAAUGUCCCACUAACAUCUUUGACAGAAGGAGGGGAACGCGCGGUGAAAGUGGAAGAAAGAGGAGACAUGAACCUGAAAGCUCACAUUUCCUCAGGAUGAUGCAGAUCCAGAGUAAACUUACGCUUGAGUGUGUUAGUCUCUGCAACACCAUUUAUCAUCAUUGGUAUUAUUAUUGCAACACCAUUAGUAAGAAGGGUCGCCACAGCAUGAACCUGACACUUUAACAGAGGGAUAAUAUGAAAUAGCCGACUGAGGGGGUAUAAGGUAUGCAGUUUUAGAAACAUAACGAAAGUGGAAGCAUCCAAUUUCAAGUUACAGCUAUGUACAAUUCUGCAUAUAUAAAAAAACAUAAACAAAACAAAAAUAGGCAUGCUGGGAAAUGGUAGUUUGUUUGUCCAAUGACUGCUAGGUUUUCUUGUCUGACCGUUCAUUUUGCCUUAAAAGACCAGUGCCAGUUUUUGUAAAUUAAUUAACUUGCAGCGAUAAUAGUGUUUAGUAAAACGUGGAGCGUUUAAGAGGAGCAAACAGACACCAGGACGAGGGAAGUAGUGAACCGAUGGAACGUUUUUAGCAUACCGUUAGCAUAUGCUAACAGUAGCGGCGUUGAUCGGUGGCUAACGUUACAGUAGCUCACCAACGCCCUGCAAUUCUACAAGCGAAGGUGCAGCUCGGACUAAUAAACUAAUUACGGGGCAUCGUGGGACGACAUGGACUUCGUGGAUGAGCUGCCAGGGCCAGGAAUGCACCGCAGACCGUGGCAGUGACGCGCUUCCUCUGCGCAGGGUGAACUUCUGAUGGGAGGGACGGAAUCAACCUUUUCCUCAUCACAUGCAAUGCGUCAAAAUAAUUGGCAGUGCCCAAUUAUCCCGUGAUCCGUGUACAGGAGAUCUCACAAGCAGCAUGAAAACAAAUCUGUAAUCAGGAAGCCCUGGAGGCCGAAUGUGUGGAUCGGUGAUGGUUUGCCCACCUGAACCUGACCUACGUGAGCUGUAGUGUGGAUUCUAACCUUUUCCAGUGAUGGACAUGAAGAUUUUCGGCAUAAAGAAAAGCCAGUCUGAAGUCUAAACCCACAGGUGACAUGAAGCAUUGAGACAAAUGUUCAAACACUUGAUCGGGGAACAGCAUGGUGAUAGGUCAAGCUUGAGACAAAGCGCUCAGAAUGAAUGCCUCCCAACCAUGAAAUGUCGUUUCUGUCAAUCAGCGCUUGAAUGAGAUGUAAGCUGGCAUCGGCCAUGUCACAAGGUGCCUCCUGUAUGUGUGCAGCGUUCAUCCUGCUGCUCCCAACAGGGAGAAAUAAAUAAAGCACUCUGACAGACUAUAUGGUUCAAAUAGCAAUCGCUCAAAUUGUGUUGGUCGAUAAACUAAACGUACGAGAUGGCAUCUGAGAACUCGCGUCAACCUUUCUGCAUGCGAGAUGUCAACACGAUGACGUUCUCCAGAGUGAAUUCUCAAAGUUUGAACAAGUAAUGCAAAUGCAAACAGACUUCAACAGCCCCCCGACUGAGCUCACAUGGAAGAUAAGCAUCUAACUCUGAUACGGAAUAACUCGUGUACCAGUGUUGACACGCUGUCGCGCCAUCAUCCCACAUCAGCCAAUUAGCGUUUUUAACUCAUUCUGAGUGGAUGGUGUGACCUACUUGGAAGACUAUGAUAUGUUGAUGCUGCACAAAUGAGCAGAAAUUAAAAAUGCCUGCACUGACCAAUAGAAGUAAACAAUAAAUAGUAAGUGUAGGCUGGAAAACAUGUAACGACUACAAGGUAAAAAAACAUGUCCUGUGUAGAGUCUUGUAGAUAUUUGAUGAAUAAGUAAACAAAAAAGAGGUGAUUUUAACUGCUUUUUUUAUCACUUUAAAAAUAGGAGUCAUAACCAGUAGCUCUGCAAGAAAUAAUUCAUGUCACACUCCCCCGCCAUGCCAUCCUUCUCUCGUAUGUUCCUCUCCCACCUGCCCCUGUGGUGGACUAAAAAAUGCAUGUGUACUCAUUUUAAAUACUAUUUUCUUAUCUACCACUUCCUUAAUAUCGCAUCCCAGCAGCACAGAUAUGAGGCUCAACCUAUUGUGGGGCGGUUUUAUCUCUAUCUUAGUGGUUGUGUACUGUUAAGCUAAGAAUAAAACCCGAGUUUGAAGGAGCGGAGCCUUGGAUCCUAAAGCAUUACAGCAGUUAACACCAAUACGUGUAACACAAAUAGCAAUUUGAGAUUGUAAGUGCGUGGCCGUUGGAAAACACUGCAUUUUCUUCCAGCACAUUAUAAAACCCCAUCUGAGAUAAAUGACAAACUCUGAGGUGCAGCGCCAGAGAGGCAGAGGCUACAUUGGCUCAUGCUUGAGCGAGCAUGUAGGCCAUACGCCAUAGAUGCACCACACACCCUGAGGUGAGUGGAGCAGAGCAUUUUUUUUAUAUAAACGUCAAGCAAGCUUCACUGCAUCUUUGUGACACAAUCCCUGCCUCACAGAGGAGUCAGGCCUGUGCUGAAUAAAACAGGCCUGAUAUUAGCACGGAAUAGGGUAAAUUGUUAAGAAUGAGUAAAACCCUGGGUAUGGAGGUAUUUGGAUUGAUGUAAUUAUACCUAUCAGAUAUAUGAACACUGGAGGAUAAGUAUCCCAGCGCUCCAGUCAGUGCCCAAAGAAAAGAAGCUUAAAUGCUGUUUCCAAAAAUAUUUCUAGCUUUUAUUCCUUGUCCAAAAUAUACAUUUUAGCAACACAGAAACGCAGCUCACAGUUUGAGUCAAAGUAGUGAAUGUUGUAGGAUCAAUGUAAAGCUACAGAACAAAAUAAACGACUUCAGUACAUGCAUGUGGCCAACGAUCACAUUAAACGUGCACAUGUGCUGCUAGGUUGUGACCUGUCUUACUUUCAGUGGGAACGCGUGAGCCGAGCUGUUUCCUUGUUAGAAUUCAUGGUAAGAUUAGAUGUGAAAUUUGAAUUUGAAAAAGGAUGUCUGAGCUAAUUAUAACCUCUCAUCCUGCUGCCUUGUCAGCACAGAGCAACAUUCAAUGGAAUCAAAAAAAAAAACCUCCUGGAUGAGAUGAGGAGGAGAAAGGAAGGAAGGAGGAGGAGAAAAGAAAAGGGGGCACAAAAAGAAGAAGGAGCGAGGAGUCAAGAGAUCAGUCCCUAGUUUGGGAUUACGUGUGCUCAGAUAAGAUCCAACACCCCCCCACCCCCCACAGAGAUCUGUUUCCUGAAUGUUUUAAGGCUGCACUGAGUGAUUCCCGAACCC